UACGGGGGGGGCAAGCGUUGUUCGGAAUUACUGGGCGUAAAGGGCUCGUAGGUGGCCAACUAAGUCAGACGUGAAAUCCCCAGGCUUAACCUGGGAACUGCAUCCGAUACUGGAUGGCUUGAAUCCGGGAGAGGGAUGCAGAAUUCCAGGUGUAGCGGUGAAAUGCGUAGAUAUCUGGAGGAAUACCGGUGGCGAAGGCGGCAUCCUGGACCGGCAUUGACGCUGAGGAGCGAAAGCCAGGGGAGCAAAGC
rnacentral:rRNA from 1 species